AAUAAAAUGGCUGAGUAAAAAGCGAUAAAUUGUAAAUUUAUUUACGAGAAAUAUUCUCUUUUAUUA
rnacentral:tRNA from 1 species